rnacentral:rRNA from 1 species
GUGGGGAAUAUUGGACAAUGGGCGCAAGCCUGAUCCAGCCAUGCCGCGUGAACGAUGAAGGCCUUCGGGUUGUAAAGUUCUUUAGCCGAUGAUUAUAAUGACUGUAGUCGGAAAAUAAGCCCCGGCUAACUUCGUGCCAGCAGCCGCGGUAAUACGAAGGGGGCGAGCGUUAUUCGGAAUCACUGGGCGUAAAGCGUGCGUAGGCGGUCUCGUAAGUUAGGAGUGAAAGCCCAGGGCUCAACCUUGGAAUUGCUCUUAAAACUGCAAGGCUAGAAUCUCGGAGAGGAUAGCGGAAUUUCCAGUGUAGCAGUGAAAUGCGUAGAUAUUGGAAGGAACACCAGUGGCGUAAGCGGCUAUCUGGACGAGUAUUGACGCUGAGGCACGAAAGCGUGGGGAUCAAACAGGAUUAGAUACCCGGGUAGUCC